rnacentral:rRNA from 1 species
UACGUAGGGGGCAAGCGUUGUCCGGAAUCAUUGGGCGUAAAGAGCGUGUAGGCGGCCAGACAGGUCCGUUGUGAAAACUCGAGGCUCAACCUCGAGACGUCGGUGGAAACCGUCUGGCUAGAGUCCGGAAGAGGAGAGUGGAAUUCCCGGUGUAGCGGUGAAAUGCGCAGAUAUCAGGAAGAACACCAGAGGCGAAGGCGACUUUCUGGGCCAAUACUGACGCUGAGACGCGAAAGCUAGGGGAGCGAACAGG